CCUACGGGCGGCUGCAGUGAGGAAUAUUGGUCAAUGGGCUUACGCCUGAACCAGCCAAGUCGCGUGAGGGAAGACUGCCCUAUGGGUUGUAAACCUCUUUUGUCAGGGAGCAACGCCGGCUACGUGUAGCCGGACUGAGAGUACCUGAAGAAAAAGCAUCGGCUAACUCCGUGCCAGCAGCCGCGGUAAUACGGAGGAUGCGAGCGUUAUCCGGAUUGAUUGGGUUUAAAGGGUGCGUAGGCGGAAUGCCAAGUCAGCGGUAAAAUCGCGGGGCUCAACCUCGCUCCGCCGUUGAAACUGGCGUUCUUGAGUGGGCGAGAAGUAUGCGGAAUGCGUGGUGUAGCGGUGAAAUGCAUAGAUAUCACGCAGAACUCCGAUUGCGAAGGCAGCAUACCGGCGCCCAACUGACGCUGAAGCACGAAAGCGUGGGUAUCGAACAGGAUUAGAUACCCAGUAGUC
rnacentral:rRNA from 1 species